UACGUAGGGGGCAAGCGUUGUCCGGAUUUAUUGGGCGUAAAGAGCGUGUAGGCGGUUUGGUAGGUCCGCUGUGAAAACUCGAGGCUCAACCUCGAGACGCCGGUGGAAACCAUCAGGCUAGAGUCCGGAAGAGGAGAGUGGAAUUCCUGGUGCAGCGGUGAAAUGCGCAGAUAUCAGGAAGAACACCCGUGGCUAAGGCGGCUCUCUAGUACGGUACUGACGCUGAGACGCGAAAGCGUGGGGAGCGAACAGG
rnacentral:rRNA from 1 species